GAACCCCUUGGUAAUUCUCCAGAUUGCUUACUCUGGGGGAAGUUGGUUGCCACGUUAUAAGGACAUUUCAGUGGCCAACAGAGAUAUCCAUGCAACAAGAAGCUGAAGCUUCCUGCUAACAGAUAUGAGUGAGCCAUCUUGGAAGAAGAUUCUACACAUCCCCAGUCGAGCCUUCAGAUGACUGCAGCCCCUGCCAACAUCCAACCCUAUGAGAGACCCUGAGUUACAACCACCCAGCUAAG
rnacentral:lncRNA from 10 species